rnacentral:rRNA from 1 species
GAGUUAWCUGAACCUUCGGGGRACGAUAACGGCGUCGAGCGGCGGACGGGUGAGUAAUGCCUAGGAAAUUGCCCUGAUGUGGGGGAUAACCAUUGGAAACGAUGGCUAAUACCGCAUGAUGCCUACGGGCCAAAGAGGGGGACCUUCGGGCCUCUCGCGUCAGGAUAUGCCUAGGUGGGAUUAGCUAGUUGGUGAGGUAAGGGCUCACCAAGGCGACGAUCCCUAGCUGGUCUGAGAGGAUGAUCAGCCACACUGGAACUGAGACACGGUCCAGACUCCUACGGGAGGCAGCAGUGGGGAAUAUUGCACAAUGGGCGCAAGCCUGAUGCAGCCAUGCCGCGUGURUGAAGAAGGCCUUCGGGUUGUAAAGYACUUUCAGUCGUGAGGAAGGYAGUGWMGUUAAUAGCKGCAUYRUUUGACGUUAGCGACAGAAGAAGCACCGGCUAACUCCGUGCCAGCAGCCGCGGUAAUACGGAGGGUGCGAGCGUUAAUCGGAAUUACUGGGCGUAAAGCGCAUGCAGGUGGUUUGUUAAGUCAGAUGUGAAAGCCCGGGGCUCAMCCUCGGAAUAGCAUUUGAAACUGG